rnacentral:misc_RNA from 1 species
AAGUCGUAACAAGGUAACCGUAGGUGAACCUGCGGUUGGAUCAUUAUUGAAAUAAACUUUAAUAUGUUUUUUAUGACUUGCUUUGCUAAUAGGAAUGUAUAUUUCUUUUAGUAGGGAAAUCAUAUUAAAAACAUUUAAACCCAAACCUUGUGAAAUGAUAUAAUAUGUCUUUGGAGUUACUUGUUGUAUUAACUUUAGUACAAAGAUGUAGGACUCCUAUUUAUAUAAACUUUUUUAAUACAUUAUUUUUCUUUUUAAUAAGAAAAAACGUAUAGCCAAUAUAUCUUUUAUUGACUCAACGUUUUUUUGAAAGUUAUAAUUAAUAACGAGUAAAAAAACUUUUGACAAUGGAUCUCUUGGCUCUC